rnacentral:rRNA from 1 species
GGUAGCUUAACCGCAAGGAGGGCGCUUACCACGGUAGGAUUCGUGACUGGGGUGAAGUCGUAACAAGGUAGCCGUAUCGGAAGGUGCGGCUGGAUCACCUCCUUUCUAGA